AUGGGAAUUCCUUCCCCCUUUUAAACGAAAACCCUAAAUAAUUUUUUCACAUGAUGUUUCCAAACAGCAGAAUAAACGUUGCGCCGCUCAGUUACAAACAAACACUGCGCCGCUCAGUUCCAAACAAACGUUGUCCCUCAUUGAACCGCGUCCGAUUCUGUUUCAGACCACAGUCCUGACGACGGACCUGCCACUGCCAAACGCUACGCUGGCCACCCUCGUCGUCGAUUUCACCUGCCGGCACAGACACCGCUGCGAACCCUUCCGGGAUCUCCAUGCCUAGCUGCGACCCUCUCUGUCCCUUUCCGACGACGUGAAAUCUACCAUCACUGGCGGCGGAAACCACCACCAGCCUUCGUCUCUUUCUUUCCUUCUCACGUGAUACUAUUAUCUCGCCAAACUGCACCGUACUCUCUCCUUCUCUCAAUUGCGAUUUCAUGUUCUACGUCGCGAUUGGUUCCCGCACUAGAGUCGAUUUACAAGAUUUCUCUUCAACAUCAAAGCCACUAAGGUAUUUUCCUUUUCAAGUGCAUUUUUUAGAGGGGUAACCGAUCUUAUAUCGCCAUCCUAGUUGAAUUUAAAUUGCAGGUUGUCUGAAAAAGCUCUUGAAGAUGAUGGUCUGGUAGACUCCAUCAUAUAUGACUUCCAUUACAAACUAGCUUAUUAUUUUCUGUCACUGAAACAAUUUAGAUGAGGACCAUGCUAGUAUAGAGCAAGAACUAAUAAUGAUAUUGGUGUUGAUUUAUUUUGAUUCAUAGGUUGAUGUAGAUAUUUUCUGGAUCGAUUAAUCUAUUAUAUGGUUAAAAGCCGUCUGAAUCUUGUUUGUUGACUAA